rnacentral:lncRNA from 1 species
AUCGACAAUUAUAAUAACAAAAUUUCAACUUACUUUAUCAACAAUAAUAAUACUAAGAAGAUAGAGAAAUAAAACUAAAAUGACAUGAUUACCUUAAAUAAGAAUUUAAUUCUUCAGAAAAAGUUUAUACAUCAAAUGAUUGAAACCCUAAUAGAAUACAAAGAAUUAGAAAUUUAAUUCUUACAUGGAUAGUUUGGUACCUAAUAGAAUACAAAGAAUUAGAAAUUUAUACAUCAAAUGAUUGAAACCCUAGACAUACAUGGAAAAGUGCUUGAAUUACUAAUUACUAAAUAAAUAUGAUGAAUGACCAGAAAAUCGGCUAUUACAUUCAUGCGUGAUAGCCCUGAUGGAUCAUGGAUGGAUCAUGCGUGAUAGUCCUGAUGGAUGGAUCGAUGCAGUACCUGAUAGUUUCGGUCUUUGGAUGUCCCGCUGCUCCUGCAGUACGGCUACAAUACCUGAUGUGUCCUGCAGUUGAGCAGUUCCUGUUUACUGAAAUACUGAAUGCUGAUCAGCUGAUACUUACACAGUUACACGAUAGAUCGAUCCAGAGCCAACCGGCCAAGACGAAGACGCCGCAGUACCUGCUGCUGAUGCGUGAUGGAUGGAUGGCCGGACUGCCAGGCGCCGACGCUGCCGCUGCGCGCGCGGCGAGCCAGCGACAAGUCGGCCGAGGCGCCGUCAGGCCUGGGCGCCGUAUGGGUAUGGCUGAGCCGCCGAGGCGCCGUAGGGCAGCCCCGCAGCGGAGACGAGGCGUCGAGGCAACGAACAGGUUUCUGGCGUGAAGUUUUUGAUCGGGCCUAGCCAUCUGUAUCUGAUGUUUUAUUUUUU